rnacentral:rRNA from 1 species
UACGGGGGGGGCAAGCGUUGUUCGGAAUUACUGGGCGUAAAGGGCUCGUAGGCGGCCAACUAAGUCGGACGUGAAAUCCCCAGGCUCAACCUGGGAACUGCGUCCGAUACUGGAUGGCUUGAAUCCGGGAGAGGGAUGCAGAAUUCCAGGUGUAGCGGUGAAAUGCGCAGAUAUCAGGAGGAACACCGGUGGCGAAGGCGGUUCUCUGGGCAUUACCUGACGCUGAGGAGCGAAAGUGUGGGGAGCGAACAGG